UCCGGAGGGGGCUAGCGUUGUUCGGAAUUACUGGGCGUAAAGGGCGCGUAGGCGGGUGGACAAGUCUCUCGUGAAAGCCCACGGCUCAACCGUGGAAUUGCGGGAGAUACUGUCUGUCUUGAGUCCGGGAGAGGAGGGUGGAAUUCCCAGUGUAGCGGGGAAAUGCGUAGAUAUUGGGAGGAACACCGGUGGCGAAGGCGGCUCUCUGGACCGGUACUGACGCUGAGGCGCGAAAGCUAGGGGAGCAAACGGG
rnacentral:rRNA from 1 species